AACGAACGCUGGCGGCAUGCCUAACACAUGCAAGUCGAACGAGACCUUCGGGUCUAGUGGCGCACGGGUGCGUAACGCGUGGGAACCUGCCCUUAGGUUCGGAAUAACUCCCCGAAAGGGGUGCUAAUACCGGAUAAUGUCUUCGGACCAAAGAUUUAUCGCCUUUGGAUGGGCCCGCGUUGGAUUAGCUAGUUGGUAGGGUAAAAGCCUACCAAGGCGACGAUCCAUAGCUGGUCUGAGAGGAUGAUCAGCCACACUGGGACUGAGACACGGCCCAGACUCCUACGGGAGGCAGCAGUUGGGAAUAUUGGACAAUGGGCGAGAGCCUGAUCCAGCAAUGCCGCGUGAGUGAUGAAGGCCUUAGGGUUGUAAAGCUCUUUUACCCGGGAUGAUAAUGACAGUACCGGGAGAAUAAGCUCCGGCUAACUCCGUG
rnacentral:rRNA from 1 species